ensembl:lncRNA
GUUGAAACAAGAAUGUAUGGCUAACCGAGACUAAAAUAGGCUCUGUGCACAAGCGUAUGGACGAACUUCCGCUUCAGCCAGAUGUCAGCAUAUCAUUUACCGGUUUACUACAGGCGAUCACCGGCGUUGCCCAAAAUGUCAGUUUUUAGUAGAUGUCUCCAAGACCUGCCUAAAAUAAGCAUUAGUGAUGUCCAUCAAAUUGUUGAUGCCUGGUCCCCUGCUCCAACAAGCAAGCGGAACAAGGGAUUCAAACUCUACAUAUCGAGUUAUCUGCACAACUACAAGGAGCCUGGUCCUAACUCAUCUACUACUUGUAGUAAGUGCUACAUCAACAAAUUGACAACUAGAUGCCAAAGAUGGUGAGCCCUUCUGCAACCCGAUUUUGUUUAUUGGUUCAAGCCCAUCGCAGGAAGGCUUCAAGAUGAUCGGCCUGAUGGUGGUGCUAUAAUCCAUAGGAAAUGAAUGAAGGUCAAAGGGGAUUGAGUGCUGG